UAAAACAACCUCCACAUACUAUAGAGGAUUAAGCACACAAGUGUACACAGAAAUACGCUUCAUGGUGAUGCUCAAGUCUAUAAAAUUCGAUCAACGGGGAAAUCUCAAUAUUGUAGCAAAUGCAAUCCAAAAGACGCAACCGAUGUAAAGCAUCAAUGUUAGAGAUAUUGAAGAAGAGCCCACUCAAGAGGAAGAAAAGAAACAUUCACCCGAGAAAUCAAAAAAGAUAAACCCGUCUAGAAAGAAAAAAACUACGAUGGAGUUGCAGCCCACAGAACCGCCAAAGAAAAAAAGAAGAGUAGCCAAGAAAAAGUUUGAUGACUACAUUGAGAUUACAAGUGACGACGAUCUGCCGUUGAACAACAUUCGGUUGCAAACCAAAAAUAAGAAGAAGACAUCCCCAAUCAUCAAAAUCAAACAAGAGAAGAUCU
rnacentral:lncRNA from 1 species